rfam:Zootermopsis nevadensis contig10410, whole genome shotgun sequence.
GCCACGGUGGUCUAGCGGUUAGAACUCUGGCCUUGUAAUCCUGGGGUCUCGGGUUCGAUUCCCGGCGGUGCCC